rnacentral:lncRNA from 1 species
UGGGAAUUACUCAUGUCCUUGCCUCAAUUAAGAACCUACUGUUGAAGUGGUGGAAAACUAGAGCAUCCAAUAGAGCCCAUAAACUGAUGUUUCAGGCUCUUCCAAUCAUCAUAUGCUGGAACUUGUGGAAGAACAGGUGUUCUGUUAAAUAUGGUGACAAACAACCCCAAUUAGCCAGAGUUAUAUAUGUCCCUUCUACUGUACAAUGCAUUUCCUUACAUCCCCUGGCCUUCUGGUUGGUCCAACCUGGCAACUUAUGUGGAGAAAUUUAGCCAAGAGACAAAAGUCACAACUGUAUAUUGGACUAAACCACUAGCUCAAAUGGUCAAGUUGAAUUCUGAUGCCAGUGCAUUCACUAAUGCUGGAAGGAUUGGUGUAGGGGAAGUUAUUAGAGAUCAUAAUGGUGAUGUCAUUUAUGCUUAUGCUGCUCCCUUGGGACAGGGGACUAAUAACCAGGUAGAGGUGGAGGCUGCUAUAUGGGGCCUAUCUUGGUGUCUGAGCAAUGGUAUACAACAGGUUGUGAUGGAGGUGAACUCUGAGCUCUUGGUCAGAUGGAUAAGGAAACAAAUACCAAUAUUAUGGCACCUGCAACCCCUUGUGGAAUCCUUAAUGAAGCUCAUUUCACAGCUUCAUCUCUGUAUUUGUAGACAUGUUUACAAAGAAGCUAACUUUGUAGCAGAUGUCCUGUCAAAAGUUACCCACCAAUCCGACCAUCCACAACAUUAUUUCCACAGUUGUCAGCUCCCAUCUUCACCAACAGGUUACUUUCAACUAGAUAAACUGGGCAUGCCAAGCUUCAAGAGAAGGAAGGUGAACAAGUUACAGAAACCACCUUAGUGCAUGGUAAGAACUGGAAAGAAGGCAUAAGCAUGUCAUAUUAGUUUUAGCAUAGUUGUAUAUUGUAACCCCUGUUUAGUUUCAUUCUUCCAUAUGUUGUUGCACCAAUUGAGGUCAGGUUUAUGCCCCCUCUAUGUACAUUUUCUCUUGUGGUUAAAUGAUAAAGCCUGGGGGUGCUGCUCAGCCCCCAAAAUUUCUAAAAAAAAAAGAAAUAAUAAUAUUUUUUUAAUUCUUAGAUGACUUAUAAUAAUUAUUAGGGGCAAUAUAGUAAAAUUACAGCUGAAGCAAUUGAAGCAGACAUGUCAUAAAUGUCUAUACUAUUUUUUAAUUAAAUAUUGUAUUAAUGUUUUAAUACAUAAAUGACGUAUAAUAAUUAAUUAGGAAUAAUAUAAUAAAAUCAUGGAGCAAGCAGCUUAAUCGUCGGCAAGCAGGACGACAGGAAGUUGCUAAAACUCCCUCUUAUAUUAUAAUAUGUCAUGAUUAUUAGCAUUUCAUAAAGACUUAAAAAAUGAACAAAUAGUAUAAUAGACAAGUAAAAAUGAACGGAGUAAGUGGAUUCUAAUUGCCAGACUUAAAAAAAGAAUAAAUAGUAUAAUAAAUAAGUAAAAAUGAACGGAGUAAGUGAAUUCUAAUUGCCAGUGAAAGGAAGCUAGUAGUAGUGUAUUUUUCUCGUAUUUGGUUGGCUUAAAAGUUUUGGAAAACGUUUUUCAAAUCAACUUAUUUUCCUCAAAUCUAAGGAAAAUGACUUCCCUUCAAAAAGUAAGGAAAACAUUUAUCAAAAUUCUCUUUCAACCUCACUUUUAAGUUGAGAUAUUCAUACUACUCUCAAAAUCAUCCGUCCCUACUUCGACCCUCAAUCCCCCACCCUCACCCCACCUCACCCCCUACCACCCCCAUCUAAAAAAAGUAUUUAAAAAAUUUUUCUUCCCUCAUCCCCCUACCCCCUCUCCCUAAAAAAAAUUUAUUUAAUUUUUUAAAAAAUAAUUCAAACUUUUUUCUUACCUCGCUCACUCGACCCCCACCCUUACCAACUCCUCCUCCUCCCUCUUUAAAAAAAAUCAAACUUUUUAAAUUUAAUUUUUGAAAAUUUUCAUUUUUUUUACACUUUCCUCACUCCCCUACCACGACCCCCACCCCCUAUCACCCUCCAUUCAAAAAAAAAAAUUUUAAUUUUUUUUCUUACCCACCCUUACUCCUUUACCUCCCCCCCUCCCUCCUUAAAAAAAAGUUAAUUUAUUUUUUUAAAAAAAUUAACUUUAUUUUGUUAUCCCACCUUUACUAUCUAUUUUGACAAUCCCAACCCCCACCUACCUCCCUCCUCUAAAAAAAAAACAAUUUUUUUAAUUUGUUUUUUUAAAAAAAAAAAUUCAAAACUUUUUUUCUUAUCCAUUCUUCUUAUCCUAUUCGUUUUCAUUGUUUUUGUUAAAUAUAUACAUUUACUUUUAGAAAACUUAUACUUACCCAAUUUGCAUAACGAAUACAAGAAUAUAAGUAAGAAACAACUUAUUUUUCUAAAAAACAUUUUCCUCCUUUAUAUCGAACACACCCCAAAAAAGUAUUUUUUAGGGUCAAAAAUUAUUUUUCUAAAAUGUAUUUUUACGCUUUAGCUAAACACUAAAAUGUAUAUUUUGAUAAAUAUUUUUUCAUUCACCAACCAAACACUAGAAAAUAUUUUUCGGAUAAUAUUUUCAAUCCACCAACCAACCAUAAGAAAACAAGUAAGAAAUCAACUUGUUUUUCAGGAAAACAUUUUCUAGAAAAAUAUUUUUCAUGGAAAAUAUUUUCCUUCUUUUUAAAAUAGUAGAUUGUAAUGUCAAAAGAAAGCGAGAGUAAAUUUCUAUAUUAUAGAAGAGAAGGUUUGAAUGCUUGCUUCACCUUCUUUAAACCAUUCCUAAUUAAUUAUUAUAAAUUAUUUAUAUAUUAAAAAAAUAAUAAUAUUUAAUAAAAACAUUAAAACAAAUAUGUAUGACAUGUUUGCUUUAGCUGGUUCAAGUUAUUUUACUAAAUAUCACCCCUAAUUAAUUAUUAUAAGUCAUAUAUGCAUUAAAAAUUAAUAAUAUUUAAUAAAAAAGUAGAAAUAGAUAUAAUUUGAUAAAUUAACUCUUAAUGUUUUAAAUUAACUUGACGUCUUAUAUAAGACCUACUUAAAUUUUUUUCACAAUUAUUUUUUAUAUAAUUAUGCUAUAUCACUUCUAAUUAGUUGUUGUAAGUCAUUUAAGGCAUGUCCGCUUCACUGCUUCAAUUGCGAUUUUACUAUAUUAUUCCUAAUUAAUUAUUAUGGCCAUCUAAGCAUCGCGCUGCUUAAAUUAGAAUAGAAGAAAAAGUAUUAUAAAUCACAAUAAUUUAGAACUUAAAUUAUUUAAAAAAUAUAAUUAACUAUCACUGCAACUAGGGAUGGGCGUUCGGCCAGUUCGGUCUAAUUGUUUAAUAUCGAUUCGAUUUAUCGAUUUUUGGAUUGACAAAAAUGAUAUCUAUAACCAAACCGAAAUAAAUUCUAUUUGUUUCAAUUUUUACAAAUUCGGUUCGGUUAUUUUGGAUUUUUAUUUCGGUUUGAAAUAUUAAAGUAGUUAGCCUCUCUUUUUCAUAACUGAGCAUUUAAAAUUGAUGGAUUUUUUUAGAAAAAUUAUUUUUUUCAAAUCUGUUUUUCAUUCUCAAAUAUAAAUAAUUAUAAAUAACUCAACAUGGAUGAAACGAAAUGAAAUAAUCAUAAGUUUAACAUAAUACAUAACGUCAUUAAUCAUUACAUAUAAUAUAACCUUGCAUAAAUAGUCUACAAAACAACACAAAACUCAUAAAAGUAGUCCAUGAAACAACAUACUUUCUGCAUAAAUAAUCCAUAGAACAGUCCAAAGUCACCAAAAUAGUCUAUAAAAUAUUUGAGUCGCUAAAACAAUUCAUAAACAGCCUGCGGCGUAUGCGAAUUUGCUAUUAAAUGUUAAUUAUGAAUGUGAAUUACUAAAUAUUUUAUAAUAUAAUAUAAUAUUAUAUAUAUAUAACAUAAUAUUAUAUAUAUUAUAUAAAUAAUAAAAUAUAUAUAUUAUUUAUUUAUUUAUAAAAUUUUGAUUUUUUGGUUUAAACCGAAUUUUUUUUAAAGACAAAAACCAAACCGAAAAAACGAAAUUCUAAAAUUACAAACCGAAUCCGAUCCAAAAAACUGAAACCAAAAUUAAGUUUUGGUUUGGUUUUUCGGUUUUUUUGAUUUAAACUAAAAUAUGCCCACCCCUAACUGCAAUAAAAGUUUGGACAAGGAGAGUAACAUAUAUUAUUUGAAAAUUAUAUAAAAAGUACUAUAAAUUACAAUAGUUAACAACUUAAAAUAUAAAAAAAACUAAUCUGUUAUAUAUUUCAAACAAAUACGUAAAAAUACUAUGAAUCACAAUAAUUAAUAACUUAAAAAAUUUAAAAGAUAUACAAUAUUUUAUUUACUCUCGAAAUUAUAUCAGUGCCAUUUAAAUUGAAAUAGAAGAAGAGUAUUAUAAAUCACAAUGAUUAAAAAUUUAAAUUAUUUUUAAAAUAUAAUUGACUAUCAAUGCCACAAAAGUUUGAACAAGAAAAGUAACGUACAUUAUACAUAAAUUUUUUUUUUUAUAAAUUACAAUAGUUAACAACUUAAAAUAUCUAAAAUAUAAUAAAAAUAUUAUUAAUUAUCUAAAUUCUAUUUGUGCCACAUUAAUUGAGAUAAAAAUAACAUGGAUCCGUGCUAACGCGGACCCCUCAUAUCUAAUAUAGCUUAUAGAAAAGAGAUUAUGUUGCAACCAGAGACAAAAUGUGUGGAAAACAAGAUGAGCCACAUUAAUGAGUAUAUAUUGGAGAAUAAACAACUACACCAGUACAACUUACAAGAUGAAAGGACGAGCUUCCAAGAGACCUGGUCCUAGAAAGUGU